rnacentral:tRNA from 1 species
GGUCCGGUGGUGUAGUUGGUCUAUCACAACAGUCUAACACUGUGCAGAUAAUUGUGCAAAGUUACCACUGUAGGUCCUCAGUUCGAGCCUGGGCCGGAUCA